rnacentral:lncRNA from 1 species
UUUUAAAAGUUGUAUUGAAGUAUAGUUGAUUUACAAUGUUGUGAUAAUUUCUGCUGUUCGACAAAGUGAUUCAGUUACACAUGUACACACAUACAUUCUUUUUCAGAUUAUUUUCCCAUGUAGAUUAUCACAGAACAUUGGGUAGAGUUCCCUGUGCUAUAUAGCAGGUCCUUGUUCACCAGUCAUUCCAUAUACUGCAGUUUGCACAGGCCAGCCCCAAAUCCCCAAUCCAUCCCUCAUCUCCACCUGUUCCCUUUGGUAACCAUAAGUUUGUUUUCAAAGUCUGUGAGUCUAUUUCUGUUCUGAAAAAUUUGCAUACCUUUUCAUAUUCCACAUAUAAGUGAUAACAUAUGAUGUCCAUCUUUCACUUCUGACUUACUUUACUUAGUAUGAUAAUCUCUAGGUCUACCCAUAUUGCUGCAAAUGGCAUGAUUUCAUUUUUUUAUGGCUGAGGAAUAUUCCCUUGUAUACAUGUGCCACAUCUUCUUUCAUCUUCCAUUGGUCUUUUUUUCAUAUAGCAGCCAGAGUGAUUCUUUUAAAAUAUAGGAUCUCUCCCCAAAACCUUUCCAUGGAUUUUCAUAAAAUUCAGAAUAAAAGCCACAGUCCAUACCAUGGUCCACUUGACUCUGCAGGAUCUUGCCAUUGGCAGCCUUCAGAUCCCAGCACUAGCUGCUCACCUCCUCCUGGCUGUGUUCCAGCCAUGCUGCUGCUAUAAUUGCCCAAGCACAUCCUCACCCUAGAGUCUGCAUGCUGUUCCUCUGCCCAUCCUCCUCUUUCCAACAACUGCAGUGGGUGAUCUCUCACUUCAUCUCUGUCUGAUCCGAGGUCUUCCCUGAAAAGCCUGUCUGACACUGGCCCACCAUGCAUCAUUCACCUUGAUUGGCUAUAUUCUCCACUGAGCAUAAAUUAAAUGAGGGCAAUUUCUUUGCUUUUGAUCCUUAUUUCAUGUCCAAUGUCCAGAGAGGAUUUGGCACAUGGUAGGCUAUCAAUAAAUAUUGUUGAAUGAAUGAAUGAAUGAAUGAAUGUCUUUAUUACCACUAUUCUGGUUUAAGCCACUGUGGCCUCUCGCCUAACAAUUCAAUAAUCUCCUAGUGGGUCUUCCAGCUUCCAUGUUUGCCUCUUCCAGUCUGACCUCCAUAGAGAAGACAGCAUUCUGUUUUAUAUAUGUUAAUCAGGUCAAGUUAUUCUCCUGCAUGAAACUUCCCAGUGGUAAUUUGUCAAACAAUGCAAUCCAAAUAUAGCAUAAUACAUAUACUAAAUUAUACACUACAUCCAAACUCUUUCUAUAUAGUAUAGGGAGGUGGAUUUGAGCUCUCUCCUGCCUAUCUCUCAGCAGCUGACUCCACACAUCCACCUUCACCAGUACACUUCAGCCAUAGCGACCCGCAAGCACCUCUAGCCCACUUCCAUCUUAGGGGCUUUUUUUAUACUGUUAGGUCCUUUUUUGGGGGAAUACUUACACCCCAAUCUUCACAAGGCUGGCUUGUUUUUGGUCCUUGGAACUUCAGCUUAAAUAUCACCUUAGCAGAAGGGACUUCCCUGUCUUCCUAGUACAAUUAGACACCAGUCAUCACUGUCUCCGUAGCUCUAAUCUUGACCUAAUAUUUUUCUUAUUCAUUGGUGAUGGUCUGCCUCGCUCCCUCCCAUCUCACCUAGAAUAUAAGCUCCCAGACAUGAGGGAUUGUGCUGUCCUUGUUCUGCAUGGUGUCCCUAACAUCUAGGACGGUAGUUGGCACAUACUAGGUGCUUAAUAUUUAUUUCUUGCAUCCAAUAGUUAAUAUUUUAUACUAUCUGAUACCAAACACCAUUUCUAGUGAGAGGAAGAUAUCCUGGUAAAGUUGCAUAUAGUUUGUUUUGUCCUUCCAAAUGAGUACAAUUUUCAAUUGGGACAAAUUUUCUAAUUAACCUAAAACGAUGUUCCCUCACAAGUCACACAUCCACCACAUCUGCUGAGUCUUCUGAGUAGGGCCUUUCUAGUGACUUGGGUUAUACAGAUUUUCUUUUCCUCUACUAAGUGGCUAUUAUCCACACAAUGAUCAAAAGACCUUACAGAUGGACAGUAACUUAGGGUUUAUAGAAUCAGUUAUAAAAGCGAGCCUUUGAUCUGCCCCCAAACCCUGCAUUCAUUAGCGUUGUGUGUUAAGAUGGAGAGCAAGUGCAAAGAGGUAAAUGACUUUCCCAAGAACACAGGGCAAGGAAAUGGUGGCAUGAGAGCUCAGUUCAGGUUCCCCCUUUCUCUCCAAAUGUCUUGUUCUUUCCAUAGCACAUGAUCACCCUUUAAGAGACUACUUGGAAACAUGGAACAUUAAAAAUGCAUCUUUCUCCUCUUUAGGUUUUCUCUCUCCUUACUUGCCAAAUCUUUACGAACGCUAUGGAAUUCAGACAGAGCCCUGGUGCCAGAAAUCCCAACAAAGUUUGCAGACCUGAAAUGAACAUCUUUCUUCUCUCGUUCCAUCAUUUGUUCUGGUACUAAGAUAUGAGAAUUAUAAUAAUUUAUAUUUUAAUUACUCAGCCAUAAAAAAGGAUGAAAUUCUGCCAUUCGCAGCAAUGUGGAUAGACCUAGAGAACAUGAUGCUUAGUGAAGUAAGUCAGACAGAGAAAGACAAAUACUGUAUGAUAUCACUUACAUGUGGAAUUUUUUUAAAAAAAGCACAAAUGAAUAUAUAUGCAAAACAGAAACAGACUCAUAUAGAAAACAAACUUAUGGUUACCAAGGAGGAAAGAGAGGACUGACAAAUUAAGGGGAUAGCUACAAUGUGUAAAAUAGAUAAGCAACAAGGAUACUAUUCAAUAGAAAAAUAAUUUAUAUUUUAGUCACUCAGAUUUGAAGACUCUUGACACAUGACCAAAAAGGGCAUCAAGCAUGACUUGUAACUGACAUUUUAUGCAUUUAUUUAAAGGAAGGAUUUAUUGCAAAACACUGGAAAUUUGCAAACUUUUGGGAAAGAAUAUGACAGGAGAUGAGUAUAUGUGUGGGAGAAAGACGAAAAAUAGGUUCUUGAACCUGUAAUUUUAACUCCCACUCUGUUUCUUUCAAAUGUCUACACGGAGGAUAGUGUUUAUAAUAACUCAUCCCUUUAAGGCCAACACAUCCUGCCUGUGGGGCUAUUACUUCUGUCUAAAAAAUAAUUAAUGUAAGGUUUGUUGAUAUUUUUCAGUGUGCUAUGAAAGUGACACAUCCAGGGACGAGGGAACUAGCACUUUUUCAAAAAAAAAUAAAUGAUAUAUCUGUAAAUGAAGGAUAAUUUUAAUGUUUAUAAUAAAUGAGAGUACAUUGUUUACAGUUCAUAGGUAACUAAAAUCUACCAUUUAUGGAGAGAAUUUUUAUGGUUGUUAUAUAAAAACAGAUCUAAUCCUGGAUAAUAGCUCAUCAAUAUAAUUUUUUGUGUGUUGUGUAUUUACUACAAGCAUUACUAAAAUAAGUCAGUGCUAUCCAGUUUAGCUUUAUAUCUGGGGAAGAUGAGAUUAAGUGUUUAAAUCAGACUCAAUGACAAUGAUAGGCUAAUUUAGCAGAAAAUGUAACUCAAAUGGAUGAGUGUAAUAUACUUACUUAAGUAAUUCUUGAGACACAGCAGUAAAUGUAAUCUGUUCAAACAGCAACAAACAAUGUGUAGGAUUACUUACUCAUUUAAUCACAAAACAUCCAUGACAUCCUCCUCCUAUUUGGGCAAUAGGUUAUGUUUGUUCUAGUAUCUAGGAAAAUUUGCCCAGCUUCAGAUACUAAUCUCAACUGGCUUCCUGGUAGAUUCUGACAGUAUCACAUUUUUGGCCAAACUACACUGUCUCUUUUUUCUGAUGUUUUCAAAAUCCUUCAGAGUCAAACAGUGACCACUAAACAUCCUAUGGUUACCCAGCUCGUCAGGGGUGAAACUGUGUUUCAAAUGCAGGUCCAGCCCUGUGCUUUUCCUUUCCAUGUCCCUACACUUUCUCACUGAACUAAAACUGCGUACUGAUACUUUUAUAUCUGUUAAUGUUACCCAGAAAGCAUUUUUUUUCCCUGAUGGCGUUAUCCUAUUCUUUAUUUCCCUGCAAUAUUAAAUGAGUUUUAUGAGUUUUUCACAUACAGAAUGACAGCAGAUAUGUUUGAUUGACUGAGGCCUUCUAAUGGGGUUCUUUCUCUCUCUCUCUUUUUUUAAGGGCCACACUUGUGGCAUAUGGAAGUUCUCAGGCUAGGGGUCAAAUUGGAGCAGUAACUGCUGGCCUACACCACAGCCACAGCAAUGUCAGAUCUGAGCAGCAUCUGUAACCUACACCACAGUUCAUGGCAACACCAGAUCCUUAACCCACUGAGCAAGGCCAGGGAUCGAACCUACAUCCUCAUGGAUACUAGCCAGAUUCGUUACUGCUGAGCCACAAUGAGAACUCCCUAGUGGGCUUCUUUCUGGCUGACCGUGAAUACCUCCUUCAAGUGAGCUGGGAAGAAGGAAGAUGCUUCCCCAUCACACCUCUGAUUUGGCUCUGGUGCUUGGGGGCAGGUGAGGAUUCUCAGCCUGAGAUGGGGAGACUGGCUCUGGACACUCCAGAUACCAUCUAGGAAUUUUGAUGACUUCUGCUUAUCAAAAUUUUGCUCCCUAUUAAUGGAGAUUAGAAUAUCCUAAAUGUAACUCCACCGUAUAUGUGGGAAGAGCUAACUAUAAUACUUUAGAUUAUUGCAUCCCAUCCCUAAUGCUUAUUCAAUGAUGUAAAUACUGAGAAAGAAAAUGUGCACACUGCAGUAUUGCAAAGAUGUCUUUUAGAACCAGAGGUCAAAUUAGCCACAUAAGGAAAUGGAGUGACAUUCGGAGAAUAUGCAUAUUAUUUAAUAAUCCUGGAAGUAUUGUGGGAAAUUAGGCCUUUAUAACCCUUUCUGUUUAUAUUUGUGAUGAUUAAAUAUUAUUUAUAUGGAUGUAUUUUGGGAAGUUAUUAAGAACCAUGUACAUAUGUUAAUUAUUAUUUAUAAUGGAGCUUAGAAAAACAGUAUUAGAAAGCUUAAGAGGGAGGGAGAAAAUGAAAGAAUGAGCUGUAAAAUAUUUUCAAAGACUGUCAAUUAGUCAUUGACUUAGUCAUAAUUUUUAUCUACUGAAACGUACAUGGAAAAUGCCCUUAUAAUUUUACUGCCUUUCAUAGCCUUUAAAAAUAUAUAAGUUCUUCUUAUCUCAGAAUCUGUAGAAUGAUAGCAGUCAAAGCUAGUUAUUUAUUAAAGUUCCUUUCUCAUAGGCGCUAUAAUUCCAAGAGGAAAGAGACCAAUUUCUGGCUCUUUAUUUAUUAUUAUUAUUAUUUUUUAGGGCCACACUUGCAGCAUAUGGAAGUUCCCAGGCUAGGGAUAGAAUCAGAGCUGGAGCUGCCGGCCUAUACCACAGCCACAGCAAUGCCAGACCCAAGCACAUAUGCAGCUACACCACAGCUCACAGCAGUGCUGGAUCCUUAACCCACUGAGCAGGAACAGGGAUCAAACCCGCAUCCUCUUGGAUCCUAGUUGGGUUCGUUUCUGCUGAGCCACAAUGGGAACUCUGACCAUUCCUGGCUCUUAAUAUUUUUUGAAAAUUUUACCUUCUGUGAAAGUGAAGAAAGGAAAACUGUUCAUAGGCCAACCUAACAAUCUCAAACUCAGGCAUAGCUUAUAUGCUUUAAUUCUUAUAGUUCCUCAGAAUUGAUAAAUGCAUCCAAAAAUGAUCGUCAUAAAAUAGGGCCAGUAUCAUCAUAAAACAGGGUGAGUAUCAUCACAGAUAAAUAUAUGGAACAAAUAAUACAUUAAGAUAUGGCCAUGACCAUGAAUUCUAAUGAGGAAUUAGAAACUAGUUACAGAAACUAAAAGCAAAAGUCCAGAAUGUGAAACAAGGUAGAUGUGUUCUUUUUCUUCCUUUUUUUUUUCCUGUUAAGCGUUCCUUGUGAAAAUUUCCUAUGAGGUACAGUCACUGCUGUACUUUUUUCCCUUCAGAGAAACAGAUCAGAUAAGCAGAUGCCUUUAGGGUUUGGUUCAUCAAUUUUGACAAUAGAUGGAGUCUUCUGUUAUGAUGAAGAGUGAUGUGUUAAUGGGCAGAAGGAUUCGACCAAUAACUGGUGAAAAAAUAAUA